AUUGAACGCUGGCGGCAGGCCUAACACAUGCAAGUCGAACGGUAACAGGAAGAAGCUUGCUUCUUUGCUGACGCGUGGCGGACGGGUGAGUAAUGUCUGGGAAACUGCCUGAUUUAGGGGGAUAACUACUGGAAACGGUAGCUAAUACCGCAUAACGUCGCAAGACCAAAAAGGGGGACCUUCUCGCCUCUUGCCAUCUUAUGUGCCCAGAUGGGAUUAGCUAGUAGGUGGGGUAACGGCUCACCUAGGCGACGAUCCCUAGCUGGUCUGAGAGGAUGACCAGCCACACUGGAACUGAGACACGGUCCAGACUCCUACGGGAGGCAGCAGUGGGGAAUAUUGGACAAUGGGCGCAAGCCUGAUGCAGCCAUGCCGCGUGUAUGAAGAAGGCCUUCGGGUUGUAAAGUACUUUCAGCGGGGAGGAAGGGAGUAAAGUUAAUACCUUGGCUUAUUGACGUUACCCGAAGAAGAAGCACCGGCUAACUCCGUG
rnacentral:rRNA from 1 species